GGUUUUGCACCAGCCACCUAUAAUUGGGAUGUUCCUGGAGAGUUACCCUGCAGUAGGUUUAGACUCCAACCCUGUUCCUGGAGAGUAACCAUACUGUAGGUUUAGACUCCAACCCUGCUCCUGGAGAGUUACCCUGCUGUAGGUUUAGACUCCAACCCUGCUCCUGGAGAGUUACCCUGCUGUAGGUUUAGACUCCAACCCUGCUCCUGGAGAGUAACCAUACUGUAGGUUUAGACUCCAACCCUGCUCCUGGAGAGUUAUCCUGCUGUAGGUUCAUACUCCAACCCUGCUCCUGGAGAGUUACCCUGCUGUAGGUUUAGACUCCAACCCUGUUCCUGGAGAGUUACCCUGCUGUAGGUUCAUACUCCAACCCUGUUCCUGGAGAGUUACCCUGCUGUAGGUUCAUACUCCAACCCUGUUCCUGGAGAGUUAUCCUGCUGUAGGUUCAUACUCCAACCCUGUUCCUGGAGAGUUACCCUGCUGUAGGUUCAUACUCCAACCCUGUUCCUGGAGAGUAAACAUACUGUAGGUUUAGACUCCAACCCUGUUCCUGGAGAGUUACCCUGCUGUAGGUUUAGACUCCAACCCUGUUC